CUGCUAUGGUGGGUUUCAAAUGAAUUGGUAUUCACAUGUUUGUUUUUGAGGUAGAAUUACUGUCAUGUUAUUGAUGCCAAAUUGCAAACCUUAUUUGCACCUUCUCUAUUCCAGAACCAAUGGGUGUGCCUGAGUCUUAUCACCUCUUAACUAGAUGCAGACCAGAAGACAUUCAAGCAGCACUUUGAGAGCAAGCAUCCCAAGUCUCCAAUGGUCCCAGUACUGGGUGAUGUGAAGGCCUAAAUGACCACAUACACUCAAAUGGACCUACAGCUGUGAAACACGAUGACCAUGAUUUGAAUGCUGCAACAGACGGAAUAACGUAGAGGGACACGCUUGGACCCCAAGUAUGACUGGACAUGGGCCGGAUAUUUGUGACAACGACCUAAAAGGGGUGCAGAAGCACACCAGCACCCCAUUUUAUGUUUAUUCCAUGGCCAACCAUCUCUCUAGCUACCCCUUAUUCCACACUAUGCAUUUUAUGCCCCAUGGUCUCUCAACUUCGGACACUUUGGAACUCUCCAUCUUAUCUCUAUAAACCCACCUUACCUUCACCCAUUUUCCCUAUGCUGCUUCCUUCACUUGUUCUUCUCCUGAUUUGAUAACAUCUAGACUCAUUAACACAUUUAAAAGUGUUGUGGUGUACUGUUUUUGCUACCUUUUUUCCACCUGUGUAAUGCUGUUCUCCUGCUUAUUCUGGGGUUCAGACUGAAUGCUGUGGUAAAUGUGCUGCUCACAAUUGAUAGCAGCAACAUGGACCUGUUAAAUGGACAAGAAAGCUGUUGAUAUAGCUGCGUUUAGGCAUGGCUUCCCUGUUUUGAGUAUGUUGUGUGUUUCUCAUUCUGCUGGAGUUGACCUAGUAUUUUAUAUAAAACCUACCUUACACA